GAUGAACGCUGGCGGCGUGCCUAAUACAUGCAAGUCGAGCGAACAGACGAGGAGCUUGCUCCUCUGACGUUAGCGGCGGACGGGUGAGUAACACGUGGAUAACCUACCUAUAAGACUGGGAUAACUUCGGGAAACCGGAUCUAAUACCGGAUAAUAUGUUGAACCGCAUGGUUCAUUAGUGAUAGACGGUUUUGAUGUCACUUAUAGAUGGUUCCGGGCCGCAUUAGCUAGUUGGUAAGGUAACGGCUUACCAAGGCAACGAUGCGUAGCCGACCUGAGAGGGUGAUCGGCCACACUGGAACUGAGACACGGUCCAGACUCCUACGGGAGGCAGCAGUAGGGAAUCUUCCGCAAUGGGCGAAAGCUUGACGGAGCAACGCCGCGUGAGUGAUGAAGGUCUUCGGAUCGUAAAGCUCUGUUAUUAGGGAAGAACAAAUGUGUAAGUAACUAUGCACGUCUUGACGGUACCUAAACAGAAAGCCACGGCUAACUACGUG
rnacentral:rRNA from 1 species